ACAAGGGGAGUGUGAGGGCAGUAUCACUGCAAUAUAUUGGUUCUAGGGGUCAAGUACAGACUCUAUUUUCAGCUGUCGAUGACGUCAGUUGAAGAUCCCCGAUUACACCUCAUCAGAGGAGGUUUGUUUAACACCUAGUGAGCAGUUCAUUGGCUGUUUUAUAUCUAGUUUUUGGCAUGCUGAAACUCCAGGAUUACACAGAAACCAGUCCAACUUCGAGGAAUUACUCACGAAAACUCAAAUAUUGGAGUGAAGAACGUAAACAGAUGUUUGAUAAUAGGAGGAGGAAUUUAUUUUAGGGACUUUUAGUGGUGACUCUACAGUUUUGAUGAAAUGAAAAAUUCCUCCGUACACUGGCUGACUGAUGAA